CCCUCCUUAGCUCAGUUGGAAGAGCGGGGCACUGUAGUUGUGCUGU
rnacentral:tRNA from 1 species